AUACGGAGGAUGCGAGCGUUAUCCGGAUUUAUUGGGUUUAAAGGGAGCGUAGGCGGGAGCUUAAGUCAGCGGUUAAAUGGUGCGGCUCAACCGUGCCCUGCCGUUGAAACUGGGUUUCUUGAGAGUGCAAGAGGCGGAUGGAAUUCAUGGUGUAGCGGUGAAAUGCGUAGAUAUCAUGAAGAACUCCGAUUGCGAGGGCAGUCCGCUAGGGCACGUCUGACGCUGAUGCUCUAAGGUGCGUGAAUCAAACAUGAUUAGAUACCCGGGUAGUCCGCACGUUAAACGAUGAUUACCCUCUGUCGGCGGCAGACAGUCGGCGGCCAAGCGAAAGCGAUAAGUAAUCCACCUGGGGAGUACGCCGGCAACGGUGAAACUCAAAGGAAUUGACGGGG
rnacentral:rRNA from 1 species